CGCGCCAUCCAGCAGCCGCGGCAGCCCCGGUGGCCGGCGCCGCCGCCCAAGAAAGCUUUGCGGGCAGCUAGGCCUGCGAGCAAGACGCCGGCGCGGUGCGGCGCGGCGAGCAGUCCCCUUGGGCCCACGAGGAGCCUGAGGAAGCCGACGUCGAGGUCGGGGUUCUCGACGACGGGGGCGAGUCCGGCGGAGGUGCCGCCUUCCAAGGUCCGAGAAGCCAUCUUGUUCUGAGAGGAGAAUCGCAACUUGCAGAAUGUUUCGCCAACAUUGCAGCAACAUGACUCUGGUGCAGAGGUAGAAUGCUGCUCUGGUGAGGGUUUCAUGAGGAACUCAGAUUUAUUAAGCCUGCAGCUGGAGCUGGACAUAAUUAAAACAAUUCUUGUGGAAGAGAUAAAAGCACGAGCUGAAAUUGAAGUCAGGACAUCCGCUUUAGGUGAUGAGCUGAAAGCAGCAAAUUUACAUAUCCUUGAAGCUUACAGGCAGAAGGAAGACAAAGAAAUGGAACUGAACAGUCCAAAAUCUGUUAUCGAUGCUCUUGAAUCGCAGCAGAUUAUUUUGAUUAAUGAAGUAGAUGAACUGAAGAAGAACUCUCGCAGUUCUGCUGAGCAAGAAAAGGACGAAGCACGUAGGCAAGUUGAGAUGGAAAUGUCUGAGGUGAUUAUAUCCUUAGACAAACAGAAAAACGAGCUGUUGGCUAAACAAAGCCUUGGUGAAUUUGAUAGAAUAGAGCUUUUGUUGGACGAGUCCAUCAAAACACUUGUGCAGAAGGAGGUUCUUGAGCAAAACUAUGUUUCUUUGCUAAGGGGGAUGGCUUGUCUCAUGGAAUAAAGAAAGAGAGAUAGCAGAACAAAUGAAGGCAUAUGCUGAAGAGAAGAAUGAAGAAGUCAAGCUGUUGGA